GAUUAUUCUAGUUUUUAUAAGAGGAAAACAAUGCCUCUACAAAGUAGGCAAAAUAUAUACAUAAAGGAAACGUAAUGGACAGCAGGCAGAUCGCAUGACAUUCUAUGCAGAAUGCAUUCUAUUUUGUGCAAUCCAUCUGAUUUUUACAAGUUCAUAGCACUGUAUUUUCAAAUUAAACAUGCCAGACUUUAUGAAUAGAAAUUGCAAAACCAGUUAUCAAGACCAAAGAAACCAGAUAAUGUGAGACAGUACAAAAAAAAAAAGAGAAAAAGUUUAUUUUGACAUCUCUUGGAGCUCUCUGGGGUCCACUGCCCCAAAGCAGUUAUGAAAAAUGAAAAGCAAACCAAUCAAUACAUGAAGCAUAAGGGAGAUCAAGAGUCAAACAUUGAGAAACACAACAGGCUGAACAACAGCUCCAUCCACUGUCCGGUGACAUGAACUUUACACAACAUCACAUUAACUGCUAUCAUACAUUCGUGCUUCUUUCUGCAAAUUAAGUCCACAGAAUUGGU